AUCUUGGAUUGACUGAGCGGCGGACGGGUGAGUAACACGUAUCCAACCUGCCGAUAACUCCGGAAUAGCCUUUCGAAAGAAAGAUUAAUACCGGAUGGCAUACGAAUAUCGCAUGAUAUUUUUAUUAAAGAAUUUCGGUUAUCGAUGGGGAUGCGUUCCAUUAGUUUGUUGGCGGGGUAACGGCCCACCAAGACUACGAUGGAUAGGGGUUCUGAGAGGAAGGUCCCCCACAUUGGAACUGAGACACGGUCCAAACUCCUACGGGAGGCAGCAUG
rnacentral:rRNA from 1 species